CGGAGCGGGGGCUGCCUUCAAGUCGGCCGGCGAGCGGCUGCCGGCGGAGCGAUGCUGCUGCCGGAGGAACGGCCGGGGCGCCGCGCGGGAGCGACGGCGGCGGCCGUGGAGAUUUAGGCCGGGCGGUCGGCCCGCAGCGCGGGGAGGUGGGAGGUUAGAAGAUGAUAGAUCAGAGAUUCUGGAUGAGAGCAUUCCACUCAUUAAAGACAAGCUCCACAGGCAUUAGAACAGUUGUACACCACAUUUCCUUCCUAGAAGAGGAAGUGCCUGAAGUGGAGAAGAGCCACGGUGCCUUUUUAAUACAAUUUGCCAGUUGUUUUGAUGUGCAACUAUUCCAUCUUUAAAAACGCCUCCUCCAUGAGUGGCACUUUAAGGUCUGCCAAUACUCUACCAAACUGAAGACAUUCCCUAUGAAUAAUGCAGGGCCAGAGAAUAACUACAACAACAAAAAAUUGGCUUCUUGGAUGGAAGAAGUCUACAACUCAGAAUGAGCAGAAGCUUAAAACCACGGAACAGUUCAGUUAGAAAAACAAAAAUCUCUCACCAUGAGAUGAAGGGCAGUCUCUAAGAUACAAGGAACUUACUACAGAAUUUAUUCAAGUAAAAAGAUGGGGGUUGUGACUGCAGUAACCGAGCGCUCCGAUCAAACACAGCCCUGCUGCACUCCCUGUCCUGCACAGUUCUGUGUACACACCAGGCUUUUUGUGCUCAUUCUCCUACCAACUUCGACGAGGUGAUGCUGUAACAGUCACUAAUGACUUACUAUUCCAUGACUGUCACCACCACCGCUCAGUGCCAGAAACAGACAAAAGUGACAGGGCCAACACAAACCCACCAGCUUCACCAUCAACAAGGACUGAGUAUCACUAAGCUCUCAUCCCUUCCCAUUCAUCUAAUUCAGAAACAGCUCUUGACUAAGAGUAGCAAGCUGAUCAGGAUGUUUAUGACUGAUUUCUAAUUUGUAGCCAUGAUACGAAGAAGAAACAAUACUGAAUUUAUUAAGGGUCUACAGGAGAAUUUUCAGAAAUACCAAACCAACUCUAAUGCUGUGGUGUCUGCAGCACCCACGGUCACAAGGAAACACAGCUGCAUGGAGCACUGUGUACACAAAAGCUAGGAAACCAAAGAAAAGUGUUGACUUAGUCUAUAAAUCUCAGGUCUCCAAAUUUCUCAGUUAAAUUACCUGCAGCAGAGACACUGCUCAGAGACAUCACACAAAGUCACUAAUGACAGUAAUUUAAAGAAAUCAUAUAGGCCAGGAAAAAAUUACUUCAACUUAGAUAUUGAUUUCCUCCAAGAUUUGUUGUGAGUAUAAGCACAGUGUAUUUACCUGACCUAAAUUCUAACUGCAAGUUCAUAAUGUUUGUGACAGUAAAGGUGUUUCAGCUAGCAUUCCUCUCUACUCUCAAUUAAAAGGAUUGGAAUUAUAAAAAAACCUAUGAUUUAGUUAACGUGAAAAGUUGCUUUCUGUAUGUUAUCUGGAACCUUUCAUUUGAGAUAAACCCAAACCACUCUACAAAGAAUUAGCAUUCUGGUGAAGUACUUCACACGUAAUCAGCAUUCUGGUGAAAUACUUCACAUGUAGAGUCGUUAUCAGCCUGGUAACUCAUUUGCCACAUUGGAGAUAAGAACCCAAACCCAGCUAUGAAGAGCACUUCCACAGGUAUCCUCUGCCUUCUCAGAGAUGGCGAGGAUUAAACAGAACACAAUGGAAAAUUACACUCUCUUACUGCCUCUAAAGACACCGAAUGAAAGCCAUGAACUGCUGUUUUUGUUACCUGUGUUCAUUCCUACCUGUACACCUUUAUAAUCAAGCAUCUUAUCUGCAAUUACAAAAAAUACCCAGGCCUAAUACAUUAUCCUUCAUGAUGCAAGAGUGAAUGUCAUCAUCUGGGUAAUCAGAUUGAUCCAUGUACUCACUCCCAGCCAAGGACUUUUUUUCAUCCUCACAAAGGACUAGGAAACAAGGUUUGCAUCUGAAUCUCUAACUUAUGUUAGUUUUGAAAGCUGACAAAGGCAAACCAGUUACUUCGUUAUAAACAGCAUCUGAGCUCAUGGCUCCAUUAUCAGAUGUUCUGAGAAUAUUCAUAUUAUCCCCUUGCGCCUUCUUCUCUCCCAAGAUCCAUUUCUAAAGGCACACACUGAAGAGAAUUAGGAAAAACCCUUAAGUGUUAUAAAGUGUUGUAGCUCUGUACUGUGUAUUAGGCUUUGGUAAGCAAUAACAGAACGUGCCAAGCUCUGCCCUACUUAUCUGCCCAUCCUUGUGCCUGUGCUGUGGUUAUUCAGUUUUACUGCCUAGGCACCUCUGGACAAAAGCUAUUUCCUGGUAAAAUAAAAAUAAUACCAUUUACGACAAAGUACCAACGCAUAAGUGGUGAAAAAGCUUUUGAGAAUAACAAUGGAUAUUUACACUGCAAGCAUCUGUAUUGAGAAAUGGUUGUAUUAAACAACCACACUUUAAGACCAAAAAGAGCAACUUCCACACACUUCAGAGCAAUAUUACGUUAGGUACUUCCACGAGCAGAACUAAAACUUCCCAAAGAAAAAUUUUAAGAUUGCAGUUUUGCUUCUAUUGUAAAUACAUCUAAUAUAACUUAGAAAUUUUACAUCAUUUUACAUCAAAAGAUGUAAGGGGUAACUGAAAAUGCUUAACAACAGUGCUGAAUCAGCAAUGCCAGUUUCAUACAGCGACACUAUAUUUAUUAUUACAGUGACACAAUUUAUUACUGUGACACUAUAACAUGAUGGAAAACACAGCACUGACAGUGGGAUAGCAAAGUCCCAGGCUGCAGCAAGUGAGGAUAAGCUGAACUGCAGCAGACGUGGAUGCAGAAACAAAGGAAGAAGUCUGCUUACCCUUGGAAGGCCUCAGCUGGGCAGGGAUCUCCAGCAAGAUACUCUUGCCUCCACUGCCAACCCUUAAAUGAGGGCUGGAGGAGGUGGAUCCUGGCCCUUCCAGUCACUCAGGUACAUUGCAUGCACCUGAGCUCCCCUGCCUUCCCACCAGGUGCUCCAUCACUCCUUCAGGCCAUGACUUAGCACUUCUAAGUGCACAAAUAGUAACAACAGCACUGCACUUAGCACAAAUAGUAUCAAAGAAAAUAUGAAAAGAGUAAUGGGGAAAGGGCUGUGGAGCAUUUAAACUCCUAACGAGCCCGCUGGUCAACACAAAUUGUAAGGCUGCAUCCUACAUGCAAUUUUCAAGUGGUAUUUUCUCUGCUUUUGAUCCGUGGUUGAAGUAGUAAGUAGAACUUACUUUUUUGUUCAGGUGGAAAAAGCAACCCAAACCUGUAGCUCCUUUUCCUAGGCCUGUCACUACAAAACAGUGCUCAGUGCUAAGCUCACUGUCACUUUUUUCAUGACUUGACUUGUAAGAGAUCUGAAUUUUAUGAUAGUAGGACUGCAUCAAUAGGAAACCAAAUCCAAUAUCGCAUUAAGAAGGUAUGGCUACCGUGUCACUGCCACCACAUCUCACACUGCAUAGGUUGCAUGUACAUUCUUCAUCACAACAUUUUCAAAGAAAAUAGUCUUUAAUAUUCAAUUCCACUUCCUCCCAGAACACAACUGGGGAUUAUGGCUUUGAACUCUUAAGUUCCAAUCAAGUUAAUACAGGUUUACUUUCCUUAGAAUAUUUUUAACAUUCAAGAACGUUCAUUUAAUAAAAGCUCCUGCUGCUGUAGUUUACUGUGCACGUGUGAGAAACUAAGAAUGUGGCCAAGAAAUUAAUCAUGGCUCCAUUAGUUUACUUCUCUAAAUGCAACUAAAUAUGUAUUGCUGUCACUGCAGGACAUUAUUUCUCCAUGCUUUCAGUAGCUUCUUCCUACAUUCCUGCACACUCAAAAACUACAUGAAACAGCACUGUCAGCUGUUGUGCAGGAUGUGAAUGAACACUUCACAAUGAAUUUCAAAUCCACAGAGAAAAUAACCUUGUAGUUUCAUUCCAGGAUAACCCUUUAUCUUAGUAUCGACUGUAGAAUCAGUGCAUGAAAGCAUUCAAUGUUAAAGCUUCUGGCAAGCAGUGACAUUUUCUCCAUAACCCAAAUCCCCACUUGAGGAAUCAUUCUGCUUGUGAAGAGACCAUAAUUCUCCUAGAGACAAAGUGAGAGUACCGUUUGUCUCCAGGCAGUGACCACUGGUAUAUGUGAAAGUCAGAUACAGUUCUCAAAAUAUUAUUAGCAAGUAACUUACUUGAAUGGAAAGUGCCAAUAUCAAUGCCUUCAACCAAAACCAUUGAGUACUUUCUCUUGAUUACUGUGUCUAACAAACCUGGACAUGUCAAACAUAUAAUGAUGUAUAUUUGUAUAUAAGCCCAAGUAACAAAAAAAGCAAAUUUAAGACUGCUUAGAAACAAGAUUUCAGUUGUAUCUACUCUAUCAUCCUGCCUUCUGCCUGCCUCAUAGCCAACUCCUAAGAAAUGGUCAACAUCUUCCUAUCACAACACGUCAUAAUACAGGAUACAAUCGGAUCUUCACAUCUGAAAACUGAAGAUCAGACUUCACAGCAAAAGGAUUUUUCUCUCUAUUUAAAUGUUCUGUGCUUGUUACCCAUAGCUGGUGAAAGAAAACAAAAGAAGGGGAAAGAAAAACCACCCUGAAAUGCUCAUAGGAGUGAUGUGAGCAACCUUCAGGAGAAACAAAAGCAAACAGGGAGAACAGACCCAUUACUAGUGGAAAUUGCUGCUUAGCUUAGGAACUGAACUGCACAUUACCAAGAUAGAGGAGAUCAGGACUAUGCUCACUGGUACAGCACAACAGAAGGAAACAUGAGAAGCCUUACAUGAAAAUUAUCUGCAGCACAGCCACAGAAGGUUCAACCACUCCCGAAGUCAAGGUUUUUGUUUUGUUUCUUUUUGGAGUUUAGUACUUAGACUUGAUGCAGCUUUCAACAGCAAAUUGUAUCUUCACCAAUUUGCUACUUUUACUAAUACUUCAAAUUCCAGAUGGAAACAAAUGUGGCCAUCAACUUAAAAACAUCCAGGAUGGGAAACCUGACACAUCCACCACCUGUUACUGCCAAAUUUUUAAACCACUUUUUGUGUUUAAUAAACUCUUAUCAAUGUAUAACCUUCAAGCACUUCAAGUUAUAGCCCUGCAGCUCAAUGCUUCAACAUACCAUUACUAAAGGACUGAAGCCACCUACAAAAACUAAGUCAAAACAGAAGAAAAUAAUAAAAUAACACUGUGCUGGUAUGUGGAAAAUUAAUGUAAAACACAAUGCUGCGUGCCUGACUGAAGGUUCUACGUUGCAACAAGUAAUGUUUGUCUUGUUUUUUUUCAAUGCAAACAGUCAUCCCUUUAUGAGGGAAGUACUGCUUUUACACACAAUGCAGCACAGUCACAACUGUGUCCUUACUGGAAGGUGUGCACCCAGGAGAGGGUAAGGAACACAGGUGGGAGAAAACAAGAACACAGCAGUUAAAUUAUCAGGUGAUUAAAAAAAAAAAAACACCACCACCAAGGAAAAGCCUCUGCCUGUCUGCAGAUCCAAAAAGCUGCUUCUAUUUUUGUGAUCCUAGGAGUGCCAUGCUCCAGCAUAUCUUUCUGUAUCUCUGGCCUCGCAGCUCACUGCCCUUAGUGCUACCAGGUAACAACAGAUGUUAAGGAUGCUUCAGUUCUGCCAACUUCACCCAGAACAACAUGGCCAACCUCGUGGCACGAGGCCGUGGAGCACUCACCAGGCAGCAGUGCUGUUCUGAUUCAGGAGAAGAUGCAUCAGCGAGAUGAAGACAGCUUUUUUCUCUCAACUACAGUCUUCAAUAAAUAUUCCAAAUCUGCCUCAGCCUUUUUUUGUUGUUUUUAGACAACAUGAUUUGAAGUGUUUAAUAGGCUUGUCUGAUGACUGAGGUUUGCUACAGCUGUGCCAAGCAGCAAAUGUAAUAAAUUAUUAUUGUCACAGCCCCGUCAGUAAAAUGGUGAUUUUCAUACACAAGUAGUCUGUAGACCUAAAGAAAUAAUCUGGAGGAUACUCCUGCAGUGUAAAAGAACCAAGAGAGCACCAGUGGACUACUCUUGGCUUUCUUAUGCCUGACUACACCAUGAGGAAACCCUCGCACAACUGGCACACACACAACUGUUGCUGACCCCUAGCAUUUAACUGAGGGAGGUGUUUUCAUUUAACAACGCUGAUAAAAAGCACCACUGUGAAAUGACAAGUAAAAAAAGAAGUUGUGGAAAAUGUGCAAACAAAAGUUGGUCUCUACGGCACACAAAAUAAUUCACAGGUGCGUAAAGACAACUGUCUCUUGGGCACAUUAUUAUAAAUGUAAUAAAACACCAGUUUUACCUUCAA